CUAGGGAUGGAAAUAAGCCUGGGCCUGUUAGGAAAAGCUAAGGCUUGAGCCUGGGCCUGGGCCUGUAUGUAGGUUUUUUUUUAGGCUCAAGCCUGAGCCUGCAGUUGGCCUAGCCUGGCCUGAAGCCUUUUUAAAAGCCUAUUUACUAAAUAGGCUUUUAAAAAGGCUCCAAAGUAGGUUCUAAAUAGGCUUUGGGCCUAUUUAAA